GUAAUACUCCCUCCGUCCGAAAAUACUUGUCCUAAAAAUGCAUAUAAUGGAUGUAUCUAUAAUUAAAAUAAGUCUAGAUACAUUCAUCUCUAGGACGUAUUUCCGGACGGAGGUAGUACUAG
rfam:Hordeum vulgare subsp. vulgare, WGS project CAJW01000000 data, contig: morex_contig_45565